GACUACGCUGGGCGGCGUGCCUAACACAUGCAAGUCGAACGGGGCCCUGGUUCGCCAGGGUCUAGUGGCAGACGGGUGAGUAACACGUAGGUAAUGUACCCUCUUGCUGGGGAUACCUGUCCGAAAGGAUGGUUAAUACCGAAUGAGCCACGACCGGGGCAUCCUGGUGGUGGCAAACUGGCAACGGGCGAGAGGAUCAGCCUGCGGACCAUCAGCUGGUUGGUGGGGUAACGGCCUACCAAGGCGACGACGGUUAGCCGGUUUGAGAGGACGAUCGGCCACACUGGGACUGAAACACGGCCCAGACUCCUACGGGAGGCAGCAGUGAGGAAUAUUGCGCAAUGGGCGAAAGCCUGACGCAGCGACGCCGCGUGAGGGAUGAAGGCCUUCGGGUCGUAAACCUCUGUCAGUGGGGAAGAGAACGGACGGUACCCACUGAGGAAGCAUCGGCUUACUACGUG
rnacentral:rRNA from 1 species